rnacentral:rRNA from 1 species
AUUGAACGCUGGCGGCAUGCCUUACACAUGCAAGUCGAACGGUAACAGGUCUUCGGGUGCUGACGAGUGGCGAACGGGUGAGUAAUACAUCGGAACGUGCCCGAUCGUGGGGGAUAACGGAGCGAAAGCUUUGCUAAUACCGCAUACGAUCUACGGAUGAAAGCAGGGGACCGCAAGCCCUUGCGCGGACGGAGCGCCCGGUGGCAGAUUAGGAAGUUGGUGGGAUAAAAGUUUACCAAGCGGACGAUCUGUAGCUGGUCUGAGGGGACGACCAGCCACACUGGGACUGAGACACGGCCCAGACUCCUACGGGAGGCAGCAGUGGGGAAUUUUGGACAAUGGGCGCAGGCCUGAUCCAGCCAUGCCGCGUGCAGGAUGAAGGCCUUCGGGUUGUAAACUGCUUUUGUACGGAACGAAAAGACUCUGGUUAAUACCCGGGGUCCAUGACGGUACCGUAAGAAUAAGCACCGGCUAACUACGUGCCAGCAGCCGCCGUAAGAC